CCCUGAGCACAUUUUGCACUCAGAUUAAUAACCACUUUAUCAUCACAAGCCUUCCUGGGGCUGCCCAUUUAGGGUUUUUGUUUUGGUUUGGUUUUGUUUCUUUCAUAAAACAGGGUCAGCAUGGUUCUCUCUAGCAUUUGUAAAGAAGUACAUGAAUGAUCUGUCCCCUUUAUUCAGAUCAUUCAUUUCACAUUUGGAAGCUGGCCUUAUUUUCAGUAAUCAGGCUGGUACAUAGAAGCUGGCUGGUGUAAGUGGUCUGGUUGGGGAUUUUUCUGGUUUUGGUUGUUUUUUUCAGUAUGUGAUUCCAGGCGGGUCGAGGGGAGCUGGGGUUUGCUUGCAGUCAGUGCUCAGGAGUGCCAUCAGAAGGAGAUCUCCGGCAGCGCUUGCGCUGUUUCCAUAUCACAAACUGGGAGCGCAACCCACGGCGCUGGGCUCGGUGUGAGGCUCCUGAGAUGAGUGUGUGCAGAGACCUGGGUUAGCUGCCUCUCGCCACUGCAGGGGGCUCCCAGCUGCUGGAUAGCCUCUCCUCCUCUCCUGCCUUCACUGCUAACUCUGCUGGGGCCAAGUCAAGCUGCCCAACUUCUCAACGGGGCUUGGAGCGCUUUCUUUUUGAUGUGUCUGGACAGAGACUUUUAAGUGGAGAGUGCCAGCAUGAGCAACGAGGGGCCAGAGAAUCCCAUCGCAUCUACACUGACCGAGGGCAUGAAGAGGAAGAGGGGGAGACCAAAGAAGAAGCCACAGGAGGAUGGUGGAAACACAGCUGUUAUCCCACAGGAUGGUGUGGAACCACAGCCAGUGAAGAAACCACGAGGAAGGCCAAAAGGAAGCAAGAAACUGACUACUAUAACUGGGGGAAUGAAAGAUCCUUCUGCUGGGAAAAGGCCAAGAGGGAGACCCCGCAAGUGGCCUCAAGCAGUGGUCCAAGAAGGAGAAUCUGAGGGUGGGAAUCCUCUGGAAAGCAGUGACUCGAAUUUGAACUCUGCACCAGCCACACAAGGUUUGAAAUUAAAUAAUUAUAAUUACACGAGACUAAACAGUGGAGCCAGCGCUCUGGCCAACCAUGCACAAGGCUCUAGCACUGGCUGCAAUCGUUCUGGUAAAUCCCAUAAACAGAGGAGCAUUUGGAAAGUUUUUCUUCCAUCUAAUUCAGUUGUGACUGCUUCAGCAGAAGUGGAGGUAGGAAAAAAGAAGAAAAUCUGUCUGUCUGUCUUUCCAAGAAGUCACACAUCUGAGGUUCUGGUUGCUGGUAGAGGUACAGCUCAGUGA
rnacentral:lncRNA from 1 species